GAUGAACGCUGGCGGCGUGCCUAAUACAUGCAAGUCGAGCGAACAGACGAGGAGCUUGCUCCUCUGACGUUAGCGGCGGACGGGUGAGUAACACGUGGAUAACCUACCUAUAAGACUGGGAUAACUUCGGGAAACCGGAGCUAAUACCGGAUAAUAUAUUGAACCGCAUGGUUCAAUAGUGAAAGACGGUUUUGCUGUCACUUAUCGAUGGAUCCGCGCCGCAUUAGCUAGUUGGUAAGGUAACGGCUUACCAAGGCGACGAUGCGUAGCCGACCUGAGAGGGUGAUCGGCCACACUGGAACUGAGACACGGUCCAGACGCCUACGGGAGGCAGCAGUAGGGAAUCUUCCGCAAUGGGCGAAAGCCUGACGGAGCAACGCCGCGUGAGUGAUGAAGGUCUUCGGAUCGUAAAACUCUGUCAUUAGGGAAGAACAAAUGUGUAAGUAACUAUGCACGUCUUGACGGUACCUAAUCAGAAAGCCACGGCUAACUACGUG
rnacentral:rRNA from 1 species